UUUCCUUUACUUUAUUAUUAAACUUAAACAAAGAAUCCUUUGACUUUAUUUGCCAAAACCUUGAAAGCAAGGAAGGGCCUCUUUCCAUCCAUAGAAUCUCUUCCUUAUGCUAGCACUUUCUGCUAUCUUUCUUAACUUGCUUCUAUCAGCAGCUUGUAAACUCCGACCAUUGUCUCAGUGAAGUAGCCCAUGGGUAUGGGAUACGAACGAUUAAG
rnacentral:lncRNA from 1 species